UAAAAAAAAAACAUCUUAUCUGUGCUUUAGAACCAAAGAGUUGCAGGUCUUAUUUAAAAAAAAACAUCUUAUCUGUGCUUUAGAACCAAAGAGUUGCAGGUCUUAUUUAAAAAAACAUUAUCUGUGCUUUAGAACCAAAGAGUUGCAGGUCUUAUUUUAAAAAAAACAUCUUAUCUGUGCUUUAGAACCAAAGAGUUGCAGGUCUUAUUUAAAAAAAACAUCUUAUCUGUGCUUUAGAACCAAAGAGUUGCAGGUCUUAUUUAAAAAACAUCUUAUCUGUGCUUUAGAACCAAAGAGUUGCAGGUCUUAUUUAAAAAAACAUCUUAUCUGUGCUUUAGAACCAAAGAGUUGCAGGUCUUAUUUAAAAAAACAUCUUAUCUGUGCUUUAGAACCAAAGAGUUGCAGGUCUUAUUUAAAAAAACAUCUUAUCUGUGCUUUAGAACCAAAGAGUUGCAGGUCUUAUUUAAAAAAACAUCUUAUCUGUGCUUUAGAACCAAAGAGUUGCAGGUCUUAUUUAAAAAAACAUCUUAUCUGUGCUUUAGAACCAAAGAGUUGCAGGUCUUAUUUAAAAAAACAUCUUAUCUGUGCUUUAGAACCAAAGAGUUGCAGGUCUUAUUUAAAAAAACAUCUUAUCUGUGCUUUAGAACCAAAGAGUUGCAGGUCUUAUUUAAAAAAACAUCUUAUCUGUGCUUUAGAACCAAAGAGUUGCAGGUCUUAUUUUAAAAAAACAUCUUAUCUGUGCUUUAGAACCAAAGAGUUGCAGGUCUUAUUUAAAAAAACAUCUUAUCUGUGCUUUAGAACCAAAGAGUUGCAGGUCUUAUUUAAAAAAACAUCUUAUCUGUGCUUUAGAACCAAAGAGUUGCAGGUCUUAUUUAAAAAGAACAUCUUAUCUGUGCUUUAGAACCAAAGAGUUGCAGGUCUUAUUUUAAAAAAAACAUCUUAUCUGUGCUUUAGAACCAAAGAGUUGCAGGUCUUAUUUAAAAAAACAUCUUAUCUGUGCUUUAGAACCAAAGAGUUGCAGGUCUUAUUUUAAAAAACAUCUUAUCUGUGCUUUAGAACCAAAGAGUUGCAGGUCUUAUUUAAAAAACAUCUUAUCUGUGCUUUAGAACCAAAGAGUUGCAGGUCUUAUUUAAAAAAAAACAUCUUAUCUGUGCUUUAGAACCAAAGAGUUGCAGGUCUUAUUUAAAAAAACAUCUUAUCUGUGCUUUAGAACCAAAGAGUUGCAGGUCUUAUUUAAAAAAACAUCUUAUCUGUGCUUUAGAACCAAAGAGUUGCAGGUCUUAUUUAAAAAAAACAUCUUAUCUGUGCUUUAGAACCAAAGAGUUG